CUACGGAGGGUGCAAGCGUUAAUCGGAAUUACUGGGCGUAAAGCGUACGUAGGCGGUUUAUUAAGUCAGAUGUGAAAGCCCCGGGCUUAACCUGGGAACUGCAUUUGAAACUAGUAGACUAGAGUAUGGUAGAGGGGGGUAGAAUUCCUAGUGUAGCGGUGAAAUGCGUAGAUAUUAGGAGGAAUACCAGUGGCGAAGGCGGCCCCCUGGACCAAUACUGACGCUGAGGUACGAAAGCGUGGGGAGCGAACAGGAUUAGAUACCCUAGUAGUCC
rnacentral:rRNA from 1 species